rnacentral:rRNA from 1 species
AUUGAACGCUGGCGGCAUGCCUUACACAUGCAAGUCGAACGGCAGCACGGGAGCAAUCCUGGUGGCGAGUGGCGAACGGGUGAGUAAAGUAUCGGAACGUGCCCAGUCGUGGGGGAUAACGUAGCGAAAGUUACGCUAAUACCGCAUACGAUCUAUGGAUGAAAGCGGGGGAUCGCAAGACCUCGCGCGAUUGGAGCGGCCGAUAUCAGAUUAGGUAGUUGGUGGGGUAAAGGACCACCAAGCCGACGAUCUGUAGCUGGUCUGAGAGGACGACCAGCCACACUGGGACUGAGACACGGCCCAGACUCCUACGGGAGGCAGCAGUGGGGAAUUUUGGACAAUGGGCGAAAGCCUGGUCCAGCCAUGCCGCGUGCAGGAUGAAGGCCUUCGGGUUGUAAACUGCUUUUGUACGGAACGAAAAGGUUUGGCCUAAUAAGCUGAGCUCAUGACGGUACCGUAAGAAUAAGCACCGGCUAACUACGUGCCAGCCGCCGCGGUAA